ensembl:lncRNA
GUGGCGAGGAGUGCAGAAUUACAGUGACCUGUUUAGCUAAACAUGAACCCAUCCCUGGGGAGGCUUUCCGUUUUUAAGGGCAACCAAUGGUGGGGAAUAGAAAGAGAAUUUCAUUUCGUCAUUAGUUUUGACAUACUGGUACAUGAGGGAAAAUCAGGUGGACAUUUCUCUACGAGUCUCUCCUCACUCAUUAUUUGAAUUGAUAACUAACCUAAGAUCUGUUUCUUUUUUCUUUCCUAGAGGACCCCCACCCCAGCAAGCUUGGUUGAGAAGACAGCCUACUUGCUAGAGGGGUCUAUUCCUAAACUCUACUGUCCUCGACUAGGGCCAUAGCUAAUUCGACUAGCUAAAUCGAUGAGUCUCUGCAACUCUGCUUUGGGACGAUCAACUAUAUGGAAAGGGUCCAGGAAACAGUCAAAGAAGUGUUAUCUGAGAACCUAUCAUGCUCACAGAGAGCUGCAAGAAAAGUACAGCAACUUCAAUAGUUCCAAACAACUAAGUGUUUUCUAUAAAGCAAGCUAUGAAUCAUCUCCUUUAAUUCUCUCGAGGUUUUAUAAGAAAGCCUCACGUGUGAAAUAAAUGCACUCAAAGACGCUUCACAAGUAGCACUUUGGAGCUUCAGAUGUGAAAUGGCUCAUUCCUCAAUCUGUAAUAGACCCUUCUGCGAAGCUCUUCAAUCAAACCUGAGAAGAAGUCACGGUUAAACUGGACGGAGACUGGUGCUCUCUACAGGGCGAUUCGAGUGAACUCGCUGGCUGAGAAAGGAACCUAGGGUGUUUGCCAUGUGCUUUCCCCCCCUUAUCAUAGGAAAACUGUCAAUCACCGUGUGACUUUAUGAGCUCUAUGUGCCCAGUGCCUGGGUACAUGACAAGAUGUGUGUGGGGAGUGUCUGUGCACCUUUGAUUGCUUCCCAUUUAUUAUUUUUCUGAUAAGAUUACUUCCAGGUUAUUUUUAAGGUUUGUAGUAGGUACCAUCCACGGAAUAAUUAACUCUAUUGUCACAAUGCUAAACUGACAUGUGUCUCCCUUAUAAAAAACAAAACACAAAAAUACAAAACAAAACAAAACAAAAAUCCUUUUUGAAAGUUAGUAACAGCAGACAGAAUUGGCAUAGUUUGUUAAUCAAUGAUCUAGGUAGAUACAUUUUUUUUUUUAAAUCCAGUAUCAGUAAUGACUCUGAAUUCAUUCACUUUCAAUUUAAAGCAGUAAGGACUAAGCUAUCCUUGGUAAAGGGAACAUCAUUCUUCUGAAAUAGGUUUUUAUAUUACACUUCAAAUAUUUUUAAAUUGAUUUUUAUUGAUGUGCACAUGUGUGUGCAUCUGUGUUGUGUGCAUAUCACACAUAUGUGAGUGUAGUUGAUGGCUAGAAGAGGGUGUUGGAGCCCAUGCUGUGGAGUUAGCAGCCUGACGUGUUGCUGGGAAUUGAACUUGGGUCUUCUGGGAAAGCAGCCAGUGCCCCUAAUCAAUGAGUCAUCACCUCUCUAGCCCUCACCAUUUUACAUUUUUUUUUUUUGGUGUCACAUUUCUAGCUGGAAGAUUAGGGGUUAACUUCAAAACAAAACAGAAACAAAAUGAACAACAACAACAACAACAGCAGCAGCAGCAGCAGCAGCAACAACAGCAACAAACCCUCCAGAAUUUUCAAUGUUCCAUUUGACCUGGAGGAAUAGAGAGAAUCCUGACAUUGAGGUCAUGAAACUGUGCUUUGGAAUUUCUGCCCAGAGCCUUGUAAACUGCAAUUUGUACGCUGGUAAGAAAAACCUGGCAGAGGAGUUAGGAUGCCAUUACCAUUUGAAAAGAGGCAAUCAUAAGGCGCUUCUGAGCCCUUUGUCCACUGAAAAUGCUGAUUUGCAGGCGGAUUUGUAUUCCGAGUCAGGGUGAAGGACAUUUUUAGAAAAAUAACCCACCUGGUUACAGAUGCUGUUGUCUUUAUCUACAAUAUCAAAGAAUCCUCAGCCCUUCAAAAGCCAGAGUUUCUGACCUUGAAGAGGAAUCUGCCCAUGACAACUGCACACCUUGGUGGCACUCCGAUUGGAUAGAAGUUUGAGCCAAAAGUUGGAUGCAUAAUUCAACUAUUUAUAAACAUAUUUGUAGGAGACAAAUGGCGGCAGGGAGAUUCCAUCCAAUGCUACUACAAAGAAAGAGGGCCUGAAUUUUUAAGGUCUGGUUUCCUCUCAAGAAGGUGGAGCAGACACUGACCCAUCUUUACCAUUUAGCUUGAAGAGGACUGAGAGCCUAUGACAAUUCUUCCCAGACUCCCUCAUCCUGAAAAAUGAACACAUUUGAAGAAUAUUACAG